rnacentral:sRNA from 2 species
AUAAAAGUUUUCUAGGGUUCCGCAGUCUUACUGGUCCGAGACCAAGAGAAAACUCAUAGCUGACAGCUAUGCCACGGAAGGAUAAAAACCUGGGAGGU